CCUACGGGAGGCUGCAGUGGGGAAUAUUGCACAAUGGGCGAAAGCCUGAUGCAGCAACGCCGCGUGAAGGAAGAAGGCUUUCGGGUCGUAAACUUCUGUCCUAGGGGAAGAUAAUGACGCAACCCUUGGAGGAAGCCCCGGCUAACUACGUGCCAGCAGCCGCGGUAAUACGUAGGGGGCAAGCGUUAUCCGGAAUUAUUGGGCGUAAAGAGUGCGUAGGUGGUAACUUAAGCGCGGGGUUUAAGGCAAUGGCUUAACCAUUGUUCGCCCCGCGAACUGGGAUACUUGAGUGCAGGAGAGGAAAGCGGAAUUCCUAGUGUAGCGGUGAAAUGCGUAGAUAUUAGGAGGAACACCAGUGGCGAAGGCGGCUUUCUGGACUGAAACUGACACUGAGGCACGAAAGUGUGGGGAGCAAACAGGAUUAGAUACCCCGGUAGUC
rnacentral:rRNA from 1 species